UCAGGAUGAACGCUAGCGGCAGGCUUAAUACAUGCAAGUCGAGGGGUAUAGAGAUACUUGUAUUUCUAGAGACCGGCGAACGGGUGCGUAACGCGUAUGCAACCUACCUUUAUCAGGGGGAUAGCCCAGAGAAAUUUGGAUUAAUACCGCAUAAUAAGAGUGAUGGCAUCAUCAUUUUUUGAAAGAUUUAUUGGAUAGAGAUGGGCAUGCGUAGGAUUAGCUAGUUGGUAAGGUAACGGCUUACCAAGGCGACGAUCCUUAGGGGCUCUGAGAGGAGUAACCCCCACACUGGUACUGAGAUACGGACCAGACUCUACGGGAGGCAGCAGUAGGGAAUAUUGGUCAAUGGACGAGAGUCUGAACCAGCCAUGCCGCGUGCAGGAAGACGGCCCUCUGGGUUGUAAACUGCUUUUAUAUGGGAAGAAAAGACUCCUGCGGGAGGCAUUGACGGUACCAUAGGAAUAAGCCACGGCUAACUACGUGCCAGCAGCCGCGGUAAUACGUAGGUGGCGAGCGUUAUCCGGAUUUAUUGGGUUUAAAGGGUGCGUAGGCGGCCUGUUAAGUCGGUGGUUAAAGGUAGCAGCUUAACUGUUUUACAUGCCAUCGAUACUGACAGGCUUGAGUUAUCAGAAGGCAGGCGGAAUUUCUGGUGUAGCGGUGAAAUGCAUAGAUACCAGAAGAACACCUAUUGCGAAGGCAGCUUGCUGCAGAUAAACUGWCGCUGAUGCACGAAA
rnacentral:rRNA from 1 species